rnacentral:misc_RNA from 1 species
UUUCCGUAGGUGAACCUGCGGAAGGAUCAUUAAAUAGUACCACAGAUUACAUAUGCAAAUAUGACAAUCUACUACUAUAUACCAUUCCGAGUACUCUUUUUCCAUGUUGCUUCCGCGAGGCAGUCACUUCAAGUGGCCGUUUGCUCCGGAUCUCCCUCCUUGGAGAGCCGGCUGUGGGCGAGAUUGCCUUGCGAAAGGUCAAUUACAAAUCCAAUUAUGUUUUUAUUUUGUGUCUGAAUAGAUUUUUUUUUUCUUUCUUUUUUUAAUUAAUAAAUACAAAAAAAAUAAAAUAAAAUACAAAACUUUCAACAACGGAUCUCUUGGUUCUC